rnacentral:rRNA from 1 species
UACGAAGGGGGCUAGCGUUGUUCGGAAUUACUGGGCGUAAAGGGCGCGUAGGUGGCUUCGCUAGUCGGGCGUGAAAUGCCUGGGCUUAACCCGGGAAUUGCGUUCGAUACUUCGAGGCUAGAGUGUGGGAGAGGUUGGUGGAAUUCCCAGUGUAGAGGUGAAAUUCGUAGAUAUUGGGAAGAACACCGGUGGCGAAGGCGGCCAACUGGACCACAACUGACGCUGAGGCGCGAAAGCGUGGGGAGCAAACAGG